AUAUUUCUCUCCCACAUUACACCUAUUUCAUCAUUCAUAGUACUUGGAGAGAUAUUUAAUCCAAAAACACUAUUUCAGUUUCUUCUUCAUCACAGGUACCGUUUGUAUUUUCUGUUUUCCUUUUGAUUUCGUGUUAAAGCUUUGGUUUUCGCUUUUUUUUUCUUUUUUGAUUGUGAUUGGAUUUCAAAGAAAAGAUUGUUUUGUUGCAUGUUUGUCGAAAGAUGUUUUCUUUGCAGAAAGAUACUUUUUUGACCUAAAGAUAUCAUCUUUCGUUGUUUGGUGUUGCAAUUCCGAUUUUGCAUUUUGGACUUUCUUUUCCUGACCUAAAGAAAUGCAUGCAUGUGAAUUUUGGUGAUUGAAUUUUGGAAGAUGCAAAAGCUUUAAAACGCCUGCUAUUUUUAAUCUCUGGUAUUAUAGUUGAUCCUGGGUUGGAUGAAUCAUAGGUUUUUUUCCACAUAUUCAUAAAUUUUUAGUUUUUUUUUUACUUUGCAGAUCCUGGGUUUUUCAUUUAUUUGAAUUUAUUGUUCAAUUUCACUUCAAAUAUAUUAUUCGAACCAAACGAAAUUAAGAAAUUGAUUUGGAGGUUUUUAAUUUACAAGUUGAAUUGCUUCUGAACUGAUUCUUAAACCACCAUUUAAAAAACUGCUUGGUUUUAUGGUAUUGAUUUAACCUGUUCAGAAUCUGAUUCUUUGGUUUCUGAACUAAAUUUAACCGGCAUUUUGGUUUCUACUUGAAGAAUUCACAACCUAAGGGUUUCAGAAAAUCUUCUUUGUUUUUAUUUCUUAUUUUCAUUUUUUAUUACAAAAAUGCCACGUUGAUUUCACUUGCCUUUAAUAACAACAUUUUUAAAUUGCGGUAUUUUGGUUUCUACUUCCUGUUUCAAUGUUUUAGCAAAUGAAUGUGAUAAACACAUGUUCAGUAAAGAACACCGAACCAAAUCAGAAUUGUUGAUAUACGGUCGGUUGUCAACAAGUUCAAGUCAGAACAUGUUGAAAUGGUGAUUAUGGAUGCUCGGGUUUGCAUCUAAAUAUCACUUUUUGGUUUUGACUUUACUCAUCUUAUAUGUCUAUGUUAAACUAUUUGUGAAUUAUGCAGAGUGAUACAAUUCACCUUAAGUUGCCUAAGGAAAUCAUCGCAGAGUUUAAGCCUGUUCUGAUGUAUAGCAAAACUUAUGAAAUGGAAAACUUCAAGGUCAAUAAUAAUGACAUUAUAGUAAAAGCAACAAAUCAUCAAUACUGACUUGUCACAGGGGGCUACGGUCAUCACUUCUGAAGAAUUUCCAAACAUUCCUAUGACAUCUCUCCAUUUCAAAAGUUUUGAAGAAAUACUUGGAGGAAAAUAUAGAACUGACUUGAUUGUUGGUUGGUUUCUUGGUGAAACUGAUCCCUUCUUUAAACUUGACCUUAAUUAUCUACUUUGCUCAUUUUUUUACCCUUUAUUUAAGAUGUCAUUGGAGCUUUUUAUGAUGUAACUUCUACAAAUAGAAGUGGAUUAAAGAUAUGAUCAAUCACUUUUCUUCUCAAAGAUAUCAAUGCCAACAUGUUUCAUAUUUGCAUUUGGGAUGACUAUGCAAAGCAAUUCUGUGAUGGGUUAGCUGCCUCAAAUGAUGCUCAAUAAGUUUACAUUGUUCUCAAAUAUGUCAGAGUCAAAUCACCAUAAGGUAUUUAUUUUACACAGUAUGCAGGUUUAUAAAUGCUUGGCAAACAGUUGCGUUGUUACUUCAAAGUCUGCCUCAAAUAAAAGCGCAGCGAACUACUAAAGCAAAAAACCCAGGGUGAUAACAAAGUAGUAACAACAGAUAAGUCAAAUGGAUACUACAGCCUUUUGAUGUAGAUGCAUAAUAAAGUAGUAACAACAGAUAAGUCAAAUGGAUAUGCAAGAGAAUGAAGAUGAUGAUGCAGACAUAGCUUCAGAUCAAUUGCAAGGAGACAAAUCAAAUUCCACAGUUGUUGCUCAUAUGUUAGCAUAAUGAGUCACAUUCAUAUUUAUCAGUGAAAACCAAAAAUUAGAAACACUUUAAAUAACUUUAAAUAGUGGAGGGAGCCGACCAUAAAAAAAUGUAAAACCAUGCAAAUUCAGAAUGGAUCACAAAGCCGCACACUUAUUUGCAAGAUUAGAUUGAGUUUCGAAUCUCUUGGUCAUUCUUAGACGGAUGAGUUUCAAACAAUCAACAACCAAAAGAAGAGACCUCAAAAUCCAACCCCUCGGUAAAAAUUAGAAUGUGCUCACACAAAAAUUCAUAACGGAAUGGAUAGAUGCUCUGGAACAGAAAACCAAAACUGCAACAUCAGUACAAUUUAAUCAUAUAGUGAUCAGUAACCUUCAUCCAAAAAUAGUAGAAAUUCAUUAUUAUUCAUUUUAUGGUUUUUUGGUUUUUCAGUUGGUCUAGGCUGGCAUCAUUGAAAGUGAGAUAUAUCCAAGGUGGUAGUAACUUGAUAUAUCAAUAAGACAGGCUCUGCCGUGCAUCUGUGUGGAAUUCCACUCACCAAAUCAUCUUGUAAUCCUUUCUGCUCAUUGUCAGCAAUAGCUUCAGUUAAGAUGGCUCUACUUCUAGUUUUGAAUUUCCAAAGUUUAGGGUUAGGCUACCACAGAUUUCAUCCCAGUUGGAUUGGAGUUGGCUUGGCACGGCUUGAACUAUUGUACUUGUUUUAAAUUACUUCAAAGCAGUCACCAAUUCAAGUUGUCAAUUACUUGCAGCAAAAUGGACUAUGGAUCAUAGUACUUUUUUCUCUAUCUGAAAAGUAAUAGA